GCGUUAAUGGAGCGGCCGAUAUCUGAUUAGCUAGUUGGUGGGGUAAAGGCCUACCAAGGCGACGAUCAGUAGCUGGUCUGAGAGGACGACCAGCCACACUGGAACUGAGACACGGUCCAG
rnacentral:rRNA from 1 species